rnacentral:rRNA from 1 species
UACGCAGGGUGCAAACGUUGCUCGGAAUCAUUGGGCGUAAAGCGCACGUAGGCGGCUUGCCAAGUCGGACGUGAAAUCCCUCAGCUCAACUGAGGACGUGCAUCCGAAACUGGCGAGCUUGAGUACUGAAGAGGAUCGCGGAAUUCCCGGUGUAGAGGUGAAAUUCGUAGAUAUCGGGAGGAACACCAGUGGCGAAGGCGGCGAUCUGGGCAGAUACUGACGCUGAGGUGCGAAAGCGUGGGGAGCAAACAGG